GCUACUGCCAUCAGAGUUCGAUUAAGCCAUGUUAGUCGAGGGUGCUUCUUCUUCGGAAGAAGUAACCCGGCGGACGGCUCAGUAACACGUGGAUAACUUGCCCUUGGGUCUGGGAUAACCCCUGAGAAAUUGGGGACAAUACCGGAUAGGGCAUCGAUAGCUGGAAUGCGCGAUGUCCAAAAGCUGAGGCGCCCAAGGAUAGGUCUGCGGCCGAUUAGGUUGUUGUUGAUGUAAUGGAUCAACAAGCCUGCAAUCGGUACGGGUUGUGAGAGCAAGAGCCCGGAGAUGGGUUCUGAGAAAAGAACCCAGGUCCUACGGGACGCAUCAGGCGCGAAAACUUUACAAUGUGCGAAAGCACGAUAAGGGAACUCUGAGUGCCUCCUAUGGAGGCUGUUCAGGUGUCUAAAAAGCACUUGAAGUAAGGGCUGGGUAAGACCGGUGCCAGCCGCCGCGGUAACACCCGCAGCCCAAGUGGUAGCCACGAUUAUUGGGUCUAAAGCGUCCGUAGCCGGCCAGGUAAGUUCUUUGGGAAAUUUAACCGCUCAACGGUUAAGCUUUCAGGGAAUACUGCUUGGCUUGGGACCGGGAGAGGUCAGAGGUACUUCAAGGGUAGGGGUGAAAUCCGUUAAUCCUUGAGGGACCACCAGUAGCGAAGGCGUCUGACCAGACCGGGUCCGACGGUGAGGGACGAAGGCUAGGGUCGCGAACCGGAUUAGAUACCCGGGUAGUCCUAGCUGUAAACGAUGCGGGCCAGGUGUUGGCAUUACUGCGAGUGAUGUCAGUGCCGAAGG
rnacentral:rRNA from 1 species